rnacentral:snRNA from 1 species
GUGCUCACUUCGGCAGCACAUAUACUAAAAUUGGAACGAUACAGAGAAGAUUAGCACGGCCCCUGCGCAAGGAUGACACACAAAUUCGUGAAAUGUUCCAUAUUUAU